rnacentral:sRNA from 2 species
CGCCAACAACUCUCCUCGUAGCCUGCCACUACUAUGAGUAUUUAACUAGUUGCUAGUAAAUGGGAAGAACGUCACCGGCAGACGGAUAGCAUUGACUGGCUGACCCUUCACCCAUCACAGGAAUCAAAGAUUAAAUAUUAACCAUAUCUACUGAGCCUGAGCCUGAGCCUGAGCCUGACCGCCGCCAGACACCUGAUCCUGUCCGUCUCGUCACUCUCGUGUGCCCUGUUGGCUGGCCCCUGCUCUCUCGCGGGCUGGAGUUCCCAUGGUGCUGCCGUUGUGAGGUCAUUCCACUCUGUCG